AUUGAACGCUGGCGGCAUGCCUAACACAUGCAAGUCGAACGAGUGGCGGACGGGUGAGUAAUGUCUGGGACACUGCCUGAUGGAGGGGGACAACUACUGGAAACGGUAGCUAAUACCGCAUAGCCUCGGAUGAGCCCAGAUGGCAUUAGCUAGUAGGUGGGGUAAAGGCUCACCUAGGCCACGAUCCCUAGCUGGUCUGAGAGGGUGAACAGCCACACUGGAACUGAGACACGGUCCAGACUCCUACGGGAGGCAGCAGUGGGGAAUAUUGCACAAUGGGCGCAAGCCUGAUGCAGCCAUGCCGCGUGUAUGAAGAAGGCCUUCGGGUUGUAAAGCACUUUCAGCGGGGAGGCGUUACCCGCAGAAGAAGCACCGGCUAACUCCGUGCCAGCAGCCGCGGUAAUAC
rnacentral:rRNA from 1 species